AAUUGGAGUACAUAUUCUUUGAUUCACAAUAUCAAGAGAAAUAAGUUAGCAACUUCAAGAGCCAAAGAUUAAGUGUUUGUACAUUAUAAUCUUCGAUUGUUGUCUCACAAGAAAGAGAAAUAUAUAAAUGGGCGGCCAAGCAAAUAUUGGGAUGUUGGUGGAGAUCGGUUUGAUAUUGAUGAGAUAACUAAUGAUUUAACCGAGCUUUCAAUAGAUGACCCUCAAAUUGAAGGUGUGAUAUUUGAGGAAGAGUUUGAAGAUUUGGAAGAAGAUGUGGAAGAUGUGGAAG
rnacentral:misc_RNA from 1 species